GCCGAAAUGGCGGAAUUGGCAGACGCGCUACGUUCAGGGCGUAGUUCCUUUACAGGAGUCUGGGUUCGACUCCCAGUUUCGGCAC
rnacentral:tRNA from 1 species